rnacentral:rRNA from 1 species
GAUGAACGCUGGCGGCGUGCCUAAUACAUGCCAGUCGAGCGAACAGACGAGGAGCUUGCUCCUCUGACGUUAGCGGCGGACGGGUGAGUACACGUGGAUAACCUACCUAUAAGACUGGGAUAACUUCGGGAAACCGGAGCUAAUACCGGAUAAUAUAUUGAACCGCAUGGUUCAAUAGUGAAAGACGGUUUUGCUGUCACUUAUAGAUGGAUCCGCGCCGCAUUAGCUAGUUGGUAAGGUAACGGCUUACCAAGGCGACGAUGCGUAGCCGACCUGAGAGGGUGAUCGGCCACACUGGAACUGAGACACGGUCCAGACUCCUACGGGAGGCAGCAGUAGGGAAUCUUCCGCAAUGGGCGAAAGCCUGACGGAGCAACGCCGCGUGAGUGAUGAAGGUCUUCGGAUCGUAAAACUCUGUUAUUAGGGAAGAACAAAUGUGUAAGUAACUAUGCACGUCUUGACGGUACCUAAUCAGAAAGCCACGGCUAACUACGUG